ACCCUCUCAGGAUCACACCUGGAGAGUUUCCAGUGCUCUCCCAGUCUCAGUUACUGGAGGGAGAGUCAAGCAGAAGCAUAAUCUUUCCAUUCCUAGCUUGGCCAGUGGCUAGCAAGUGGAAAGCAAUCUGCUUCAAGU